CCUACGGGGAGCUGCAGUGGGGAAUAUUGGACAAUGGGCGAAAGCCUGAUCCAGCCAUGCCGCGUGUGUGAAGAAGGCCUUCGGGUUGUAAAGCACUUUCAGUGGGGAAGAAAGCCUUGGGGCUAAUACCCUCGAGGAAGGACAUCACCCACAGAAGAAGCACCGGCUAACUCCGUGCCAGCAGCCGCGGUAAUACGGAGGGUGCGAGCGUUAAUCGGAAUUUCUGGGCGUAAAGCGCGCGUAGGCGGUCUGAUAAGCCGGUUGUGAAAGCCCCGGGCUCAACCUGGGAACGGCAUCCGGAACUGUCAGGCUAGAGUGCAGGAGAGGAAGGUAGAAUUCCCGGUGUAGCGGUGAAAUGCGUAGAGAUCGGGAGGAAUACCAGUGGCGAAGGCGGCCUUCUGGACUGACACUGACGCUGAGGUGCGAAAGCGUGGGUAGCAAACAGGAUUAGAUACCCCUGUAGUC
rnacentral:rRNA from 1 species